CCGCGGUAAUACGAAGGGUGCAAGCGUUACUCGGAAUUACUGGGCGUAAAGAGCGCGCAGGCGGUCGUUCAAGUCGAGUGUGAAAGCCCCCGGCUCAACUGGGGAGGGUCAUUCGAUACUGAUCGACUCGAAGGCAGGAGAGGGAAGCGGAAUUCCCGGUGUAGUGGUGAAAUGCGUAGAUAUCGGGAGGAACACCAGUGGCGAAGGCGGCUUCCUGGCCUGUUCUUGACGCUGAGGCGCGAAAGCUAGGGGAGCAAACGGG
rnacentral:rRNA from 1 species